UUGGGGCCCCAAGUUUUUAUUUUCUUUUCAUAAAAGCAAUCAAGAAAAGACUUAAAGACAAGUGUAAUAAUGUUCAAAGAAGAACUUCAGGCGAAUUAAAUUUCACAGAGUUUAACUGAGCGAAGAACGAUUUACAAAUUGGGGAGCCUCCUGCGAAAGAGUAAGCUCUGAGACUCCAGUGCAGCCAUGUGGUGGAAGAAGAUUUAUGGACAGAAAAUGGAAAUGAGAUGACGUCACACAGUUCUGCUGACACCCUCCGUGAAAAUCAGAGCUGUGUGGAACUCACUCCAGCGCCCCCACCCUCAGCCGCUGCCUCGCGUCUCCCUGCCCAGGGCUCAGCCGCUGUGACAGACGCCCUGAGAUGUAGUGCACUCCAGGCUUCUGUCCUCGCAGACAAGCGCCAGACAGAGGGGACGGAGAUCUCAUUUCGGGUGGGACUCCGGAGCUUUUUCCAGAGCCAGACUGCUUGGUGGGGCCACUGCAGCAUUCUGGAAGGGUCCUUGAUUGAACAUUUUGUGGCAGGGUUUUUUUUGCCUGUCCUUUAUAAAGGCUGUGGUGCAACCCUUCAGGCACUUUCUUCUUGAAUAUGACUGGCACAGGGCCUGACACAUAAUCGUGCUCAAUAUCUUUCCUCUAUGAGGGAGGCACAAAAAAAAAAAAAAAAGAACUACAGGGGAAUUUUAGAAGAGAGAGACAACUGUGUAUGGCUGAAGUGAGAAUCCGAACUGUUUUGUGGAUGAGGCUGAUUAGAGGAAAAAAUAAAAGUGUAGGUUCAAUCCCUCAUUCACCAGACACCAUCA